AGGACGAACGCUGGCGGCGUGCUUAACACAUGCAAGUCGAACGGAAAGUGCCCUUUCGGGGGUGACUCGAGUGGCGAACGGGUGAGUAACACGUGGGUGAUCUGCCCUGCACUUUGGGAUAAGCCUGGGAAACUGGGUCUAAUACCGAAUACACCCUGCUGGUCGCAUGGCCUGGUGGGGGAAAGCUUUUGCGGUGUGGGAUGGGCCCGCGGCCUAUCAGCUUGUUGGUGGGGUGAUGGCCUACCAAGGCGACGACGGGUAGCCGGGCCUGAGAGGGUGUCCGGCCACACUGGGACUGAGAUACGGCCCAGACUCCUACGGGAGGCAGCAGGUGGGGAAUAUUGCACAAUGGGCGCAAGCCUGAUGCAGCGACGCCGCGGUGGGAUGGACGGUCCGUUCGGGUUAGUAAACCUCUUUCAGUACAGACGAAGCGCAAGUCGACGGUAUGUACAGGAAGAAGCGAACCCGGACCAACCGUACGUACG
rnacentral:rRNA from 1 species